CAUCAGAGAUGAAGAUUGCAUUUGUGAAUGAAGUUUGUUAGUUCGACGAAAUUUUCUGGCGAGAAGGUUUUUAAAGUUGAUGGUAAGUCCUUGUACCUUUCGAAGAUUUUAAAUUGUUUCCUUUCGUUACAGAAUUUUGGGCACACAAAAAUUUGGUGAUCCUCACUUUCAGUGAUUCCACAAAGUGUGCAGAUGUCCGAGGCCUCGACUUUAAUGCGAUGUGACAUCUUUGAGCCAGUGAACCAGUAAGAUUUUGGUGGUGUGUUGAAGAAUUGUGAAAAAUGAUCAUAAAUGGCAGAGUAUGCGUCUGUAAUUGAAGCAUUGGUGGUAAUUAUACAGCCAGCUGUGGCUGCGUGUUUGGCGAAAUAAUCUGCGAGUUCGUUUGCUGGUAUACCAAUAUGCGAGGGAGUCCAUAUGAAAGUAAGAGAUUGAUGUUACUAAUUGGCUUUCUUCAUUGGCUUCUGAUGUAUAUGGGCUUUGGUUGUUUGCUGAUGCUGGAAUGACUAUUUGUUGAAAUUUCUUUAAAACAUCAAGACCUUCUGUGCAGUUAAGAGAC
rnacentral:sRNA from 1 species